UAGGGAAUCUUCCACAAUGGGCGCAAGCCUGAUGGAGCAACGCCGCGUGAGUGAAGAAGGUCUUCGGAUCGUAAAACUCUGUUGUUAAAGAAGAACAUGCGAGAGAGUAACUGUUCUUGUAUUGACGGUAUCUAACCAGAAAGCCACGGCUAACUACGCGCCAA
rnacentral:rRNA from 1 species